GUGCUCACUUCGGCAGCACAUAUACCAAGAUUGGAAUGAUACAGAGAUUAGCAUGGCCCCUUAGGAAGGAAGACAAACAAAUUCGUGACGUGUUCCAUAUUAAA